rnacentral:rRNA from 1 species
UACGUAGGCAGCAAGCGUUGUUCGGAGUUACUGGGCGUAAAGGGCGCGUAGGCGGCCUGUUAAGUCGAACGUGAAAUCCCCGGGCUCAACCCGGGAACUGCGUCCGAUACUGGUAGGCUUGAAUCCGGGAGAGGGAUGCGGAAUUCCAGGUGUAGCGGUGAAAUGCGUAGAUAUCUGGAGGAACACCGGUGGCGAAGGCGGCAUCCUGGACCGGCAUUGACGCUGAGGCGCGAAAGCCAGGGGAGCAAACGGG